CUGCUCUCAGAUCUGUUGUCUCCUUCUAUAGCCUGCUCUCAGAUCUGUUGUCUCCUUCUAUAGCCUGCCCUCAGAUCUGUUGUCUCCUUCUAUAGCCUGCUCUCAGAUCUGUUGUUUCCUUCUAUAGCCUGCUCUCAGAUCUGUUGUCUCCUUCUAUAGCCUGCUCUCAUAUCUGUUGUCUCCUUCUAUAGCCUGCUCUCAGAUCUGUUGUCUCCUUCUAUAGCCUGCUCUCAGAUCUGUUGUCUCCUUCUAUAGCCUGCUCUCAGAUCUGUUGUCUCCUUCUAUAGCCUGCUCUCAGAUCUGUUGUCUCCUUCUAUAACCUGCUCUCAGAUCUGUUGUAACCAAAGGGUCGUUCUACUAAUUCGGUGCCUUUUGAAAACGUUUUGACUUCACCUCAUCUCAACAUUCUGUCAUAAAGAGGACAUGUUGAACUUCAUUAAGUUUCCCCAUCGCAACAUUCUGUCAUAAAGAGGACAUGUUGAACUUCAUUAAGUUUCCCCAUCGCAACAUUCUAUCAUAAAGAGGACAUGUUGAACUUCAUUAAGUUUCCCCAUCUCAACAUUCUGUCAUAAAGAGGACAUGUUGAACUUCAUUAAGUUUCCCCCAUCGCAACAUUCUGUCAUAAAGAGGACAUGUUGAACUUCAUUAAGUUUCCCCAUCUCAACAUUCUGUCAUAAAGAGGACAUGUUGAACUUCAUUAAGUUUCCCCAUCGCAACAUUCUGUCAUAAAGAGGACAUGUUGAACUUCAUUAAGUUUCCCCAUCGCAACAUUCUGUCAUAAAGAGGACAUGUUGAACUUCAUUAAGUUUCCCCAUCGCAACAUUCUGUCAUAAAGAGGACAUGUUGAACUUCAUUAAGUUUCCCCAUCGCAACAGGUUAAAGACGGAAAUUACUAUAGCAAGUGCCAAAUAAUGUAACGGGGUUGACCGUAAUGGGGUUGACCGUAACGGGGUGGGGUUGACCCUAACCGGUGUUGACCCUAACCGGGGUUGACCGUGCCCGGGGUUGACCGUAACGGGGUGGGGUUGACCCUAAUCAGGGUUGACCGUAACCGGGGUUGACCGUAACCGGGGUUGACCGUAACGGGGUGGGGUUGACCCUAAUCGGGUUGACCGUAACGGGGUGGGUUGACCGUAACCGGGGUUGACCGUAACGGGGUGGGGUUGACCGUAACCGGGGUUGACCGUAACCGGGGUUGACCGUAACCGGGGUUGACGAUGUCAUCUUAAAUCAGCCAUGAAUCCCCUUGUGACAGGGGGAAUGGAAGCUCGUUACUGUGCAACAGGCUUCCCAAAACAUUUUAACUGUUAAAACAUUUUUAGACUGUCUGUCUGUUGGUAACAGGGUUGACUUGUUGACGCUCGACCCGCUCAGUUUUACUCCACAAAACACCAGAAAAUGGCCAGAAAGAAUAGAACCAGCUCACCUGUUUUGACAUUAUGAUUUGACCACUAGAUGUUCAAUGUUUCUUUGGGAAUAAAUAUUUAAAAUGGGAAUAUUUUCACUGUGAUUUAAAAUGAGAGUUCAAAUCACUUACCAGGGUUGACCUUAAAACUGAGGGACUGGAUCACUAAUCACAAUAAAAUAACUAGGGCUUUACAAUGAUGGAGAAAUGUUGGGAUGAAGGGGGUUUAAUCUUCUUAGAAGUCGGAGAGGGUGCACGGAGGGACAUUUCAAAAUGCCGAAGUCUAUUUCUAUUAAAUCAGAUUUAUUGAAUUCUCCAUGUGGUCUAUAUUAAAUGGCACUAAAUUUAAUAUGACAGGCUUUUUAAAAUUCAAUAUUGGUGCUCAAUUUAUAUCUAAAAUAUCAAAGGGAACGUAAAAGGCCCUCAUUUUGUGGAAUGACCCAAAAACAGUGGAGACUCUUGGAUACACUCCUCUGGAAGUACCGCAUAAUGUAACUGUCUGAAGCUUGUGCAGUGGGUCGUCUUUUAUGUGUCUCGAUCUGUCCAUCUUUGCGUUAUGGUCAUUGUAUAGCAGGAAAGAUAUGACUGUACAUUUCCAUUUAUGAUGUGUGUAAAUGUUUUCCAUAUUCAAUAAAAUAAUCAAUGUUC